rnacentral:tRNA from 1 species
AGCAGCGUGGCUCAGUGGAAAGAGCCCGGGCUUGGGAGUCAGAGGUCAUGGGUUCUAAUCCCAGCUCUGCCG